AAAAUAAGCUACGGGUGGACCAAUAGCAUUACUUUGACUAGCAAUCAGGCUUCAAAGCAGAAAGGAGACGGUUUAUAAAUACGAAUGGAAAACACGGUAGAGCAGAUUGAAAACUUUGUGUGUAGAUAUUGCUUCUCACGGACACAGGCUUGAGGAGUGGGUGUAAAUCACAGGAAUAGGGCACUACCACUACCGUGUCUAUCAGGAAUAGUACGCACUUUGGGUGAAGUUGCUUUAAAAAAUUAGUAAAUAACACACAGCUCCCUGAACAUGGGACAGGAGACCCAAAAAUUAACAAUGCAAAAAAUUAGAGCGAUAGAACACUGCACCGUGUUCAGUGUAGUUACAUGGCUUUACGACAUAAUCUCUACCUUGAUAAAUCUUCUACCUGGCUGUUCUUUGCAUACUUAAUUGGAUAAAUUCAUUAAAUUUUCACAAAGACGGUCUUUCUUCUAAGGGAUUUACACUUGUGCUUGACACAAAUAGGGACCUCCGUGCAACCUUUCGAACUUCUCCCUGCAGAUUAGCUUAUUCCAGGUUUUCAUCUUUAAAGAAAAACAGGCUAGAGAUGAUGCACAGAGAUACAAAUUAGGCUUCGAAACACUUAAAAGUACAAGCAUUCUUUGGAUUGAAAAUAAUAGGUAACAACUGUCACCGUUCUAUGUACUGCAAAAAACUAACAUUCACUGUGAGCGGUCUGACACUAGGAAAGUGUAGGAAAAUAAAGCAUUUUCAUUAAUAUGAUCAGGUAAAUAUUUUAAACGAGAUUAAUUAAAAGUGCGAAUACACAGGAAUAAAAUUCACAUGUUAAUUGAACGCAAUGAUCUUCAAUUGAUUGCCAAGAAUCGAAGUGAGAUGUUCGCGUAUGACUGGAGCAACCCGAGUGGAAAAUGCGAUCUGACCAAUUGUCUCCUCAACCACGGGACUCGAGAUUUAAGUAUCUCAGGAUUUUCAGUAUGGCAGAUGACUUGCUUCAAGAUGAUUACGUUGGACAGCUGGAUUUGGAUGCCGAUGAGGAGGAUGCGCUACUUGAAAAAGAAUUUGAGAACCGGCACUCAAUUUUUCUUGAUCAGGAUGGGGAAAAAGUGCACAGGUAUAAUUUUGAUGAUGAUGAGGAGGAGGACAUUCUGGACAUUGGAGUGCCAGAAGAUUUGGCUUUAAUAGAAUCCGAUUACUCAGCAGCUGUCGAGAAAGCGCCUCAAAGAAUAGUUGAGCAAAAGGAUUCAACCAUCACAAUUACAAAUUUUCCAAAACCGACCACCCAAAACAACCCCAUCUCUAUAUCAAGCAGUGUGGCGAAUGAUAAUGUUUCAGAGGAUAUGCCAUCCUCUACUUCGGAGCUUUCUGUUGCUUCUAAAGGUGAUGGAGGUGGGUUCAAAAGUGCAAAAAAGAUUGUUAUCUUAAACAACAAUCCUACAGGUUUAGCAGUAAAGCCAAAUUUUCAGAUUUUUACCAAGGAGCUUCGCAACCGUAGAGAAAACAACAUCAAGAAACGGCUUGGAGGCCAAAUGAGGCCAGGUAAUGCUCGUAUGAGACCACCAAUGAGAAUGCCUCAUCAAAGGUUUAUGGGGCCGAAUCAAAUGGGUCCUCCUCCAUUCCGGCCUCCUGGCCCUCAAUUCCGAGGUCCAGGGCCUAUGCGGCAGGGUCCUCCACCUAUGCGACAAGGUCCCCCACCUAUGCGACAAGGUCUCCCACCUAUGCGACAAGGUCCCCCACCUACGCGACAAGGGCCCCCACCCCACGCCCAGGGCCACCCCCUCAGCAAAGGACCUCUGGUUUCAUACCUCGCAAGAUCCUCAUCAACCCACAUUUCAAUCAGAACCAGCAGAAUAAAGGUCAAUGGGGCAAUCAAAAUACGCACCCUCCACCACAACAGUUUCAGCAAAUGCCACCGCAACAAGCACCUGAGCCACAAUGGCAGCAUCAACAACCACCUCAGCCACAGUAUAGUUCUCCACCGUUUCAAACUUUGCCUUUGUCUCAGCCCCCACCCAGCAACGAUUUCGGCCUCCUGGACCAACACCAGAAUACAAUCAAAGGCGAGACUUUCCCCUUCCAUCGCCAGUUGUAACCCCUGAGCCACAGUCUUACUAUCCCAAUCAGCCUCAGCCAUAUCGAGCAGAGUAUGCACCGUACCAGGAAGUACCAAGUCAAGCGCAGGAUUCCUCCUAUGGUCCCCCGCAGACGCCCCCCUACCAACAAAACUACCAACAAUACCCACAAUAUGCUGAGC
rnacentral:lncRNA from 1 species